UGUUUGUUACGCAGGACUGGGCAGGUCAGGACAGGAUCCAGUCCCAAUCCGGUGUUUGGAAAGUAAAAAUGGGAGGGGGACAGGUUUGUCCCAUUGAUCAUUUUAUCCCAAAUGAAGGGGAUAGAUCUGACCCAUCUGGAGAUUGGGUCACUUUUGUCCGACUGAGCUCUCUUCGAAGCAUCUCUGGCCGCCCCCUUCGAAGCAUCUUCAAUCUCGCAUCACCAUCCCCUUCAAAGCAUCUCUGGGCGGGCUUGAUUUGAUAUUCAGGAGGAAGAAGCUUGAUUUUGGAGGCUUAAACUACCCUUCGAAGCAUCUCUGGCCGGAUCUAUCAGCUUGAUUUUGGAGGCUUAAACUACCCUUCGAAGCAUCUCUGACCGCAAUGGAAGCUGGAGGUUGCAGUAACAAUAACAAGGGAAAUGAAGCUAGGCGUACCUGGAGUAAAGGUGAGGAAGAGGCUUUGCUGAAUAUUUUAGAUGAAGCUAUAGCUAGUGGGCAACGUUGUGACACAGGAGCCUUUAAACCUGGCACACUGAAUAUGAUUGAGAGGCAACUAGCCGAGAUGUGUCCUAAUUCGGGAUUGCGAGUAAGUCCACAUAUUGAGUCAAAGAUGAAAAAAUGGAAGAAGCAAUAUGGUAUAAUAUACGACAUGCUCAACAAAAGUGGAUUUGGAUGGAAUGACUCUCUUAAAUGUGUGGAGGUUGACAGUGAUGAUGCUUGGAAAGCAUAUGUUAUAAUCCAAGUGCAAAAAGUUGGAGAAGUAAACAUUUUCCCGUAUAUGAGAGGCUUGCUAAUAUUUUUGGAAAGGAUCGGGCAACAGGAGUUGGAGCACAAACUCCAAUUGAUUUGGUUAAUGAUAUAAAUAUGGAGGUUGCAAAUGAACAAUUUGAUGAUAUUUGUUCUCUAAUGUCUGUUAAUCAAACACAUAGUGAACCAUCCACACAAUCCCAAGCAAGACGGAAGAGGAAAGAUAAAGCGAAGGAUGAUGACAUCGUAAAGGGGUUGGACAAUGUAGCGGAUAAAUGGUUUGGUAAAUUGGCUGCAACGUUAGAAAAAUAAGAAAAAUCCGAUAUCACUUAUCCACAAUACUUAGCUAUGGAGCUUGAUAGGUUAGGAUUUCCUAUUAGAGACAAUCUCAGAAUCUCUAAGGCAAUGAGAUCGGAUCCAUCGAACAUAGAAGUUUUCAAGAUUAUUAAAAUGGAUGGGGAGAAGAUUGAAUUUGCUAAUGAAUUUUUAGAUAACUAAAUUAGUAUUGUUGUGGAUUAUAUAUUUAUAUCUAUGUAUGAGAGGAUGACAAUUAUGAAUAAUUCAAUUUCAAACUUAUGGACAUAUGUUGUAAGGUAUUGGAUAUUGGUUUCUAAUUAUGCAUGUAAGGAUAAUUGAUCAUUAUGUGUUAUGUUUUAGAAUAUUAACACGCACUUGAUUGCUUUAGUUAAUUUUAUUUUAUUUAAUUAUAUUACUAUCUUAUAUUAUUAUUUAUUAUUAUAUGCAGGAAUAUUGAAUGGUAAAGAAAAGAGUUUAUGUUGUAUUUAAAGGUAGACAACCAGGGAUAUAUAAUUAUUGGCCUGAAUAUCAUCAACAAGUGCAAGGAUUUAAAGAAAAUUUAUAUCAAACCUAUAAUACAACUGAAGAAGCUGAAAUAGCAUAUGUUCAGUUUGUAGAACAAAUAAUAAGAAAUCGUAAUGAGGCAAAUACAAUACAAAAUCCCACCACAUAUACACGUGCUCAAUUGAACAACGAGUGGCGUAAUGGUUUUAUAUUAGGUUGUUUAUUUGAAGUAUUAUCAAUGUGUAUAUUUACUUAUUUGUUAUACAACUAGAUUAUCCUUGUAAAAGCCAAUAUAGAUGUAGUAAUUGUUACAAGCAAAACCAAAUGCU